GAAAUGCGAUAAUUAAUGUGAAUUGCAGAAUUCAGUGAAUCAUUGAGUCUUUGAACGCACAUUGCGCCCCCUGGUAUUCCGGGGCGCAUGCCUGUCCGAGCGUCAUUGCUGCCCUCAAGCACGGCUUGUGUGUUGGGCUUCCGUCCCUGGCAACGGGGACGGGCCCAAAAGGCAGUGGCGGCACCAUGUCUGGUCCUCGAGCGUAUGGGGCUUUGUCACCCGCUCCCGUAGGUCCAGCUGGCAGCUAGCCUCGCAACCAAUCUUUUUAACCAGGUUGACCUCGGAUCAGGUAGGGAUACCCGCUGAACUUAAGC
rnacentral:misc_RNA from 1 species